rnacentral:lncRNA from 1 species
ACCUUGUCACCCGUUUUAUAAAAGCUAGAGAUGCUUAGUCUUGCUGAUAGAUUAAGAAACAUAUUUUUGAUCUAUGACUCAUGUUUUUACAAAAAAAGAAAAUGGGCUUGGGAUAAUGAAAGCAUCAAGACGUUGAUAAAUUCAUUAUCCAGGCAUGGCCCCUCUGUCAGGCGCCAAAUUUUUGAAAUAGUUUAAAAUGGGACCAGACGUUGAGCAGGAAAGGUCGCCCGUCUGUGUCGAUUAAGGACCAUACCGAUUGUUGGCCUGAUGAUCUAGGACCUUUUAACUGGCCACAUACCUCGUCAUGGGUAAGCCUGAACCCGGCUAUUCCAUACGUGAAAAGACAACCGCGCACUGGGCGUGGGAGAUGGUGGGAGUAGCAGUUACCCUCCUGGCAAGAGGCUGGAUGGUAGGGUAAUGUGCUCCCGGGUAGCGCGGACCGGUUCAUGUAGUGGAGGAUCCGUGGGAAUGAUUGACAUAUGCAAGGGUCAAGUGCUACAUAUGUCGUGUGGUUGGAGAUCCCCAGCUGGGUAUUAAUCGAUUCGGAUCGCCGUUACUUCUCGGAUAUAAGACUGGAUCGCUGCCCUUCAUCGUAGAUAACAAGCGAAACAAAAAUUUGAUUUUAAAAGAAAGUUAGUGUAGGAUAAGUGAAUGCUCUAGAUUAGGUAAAUCUAGAUUCAGGAAAAGUAUUUAACUUGUGAUGUAAAACUUUGGCAUAAGGAUCCACUACUAGUAAGCUUUUCUGCAAAAAUGAGUCUUUGAAAUUUGAUAAGCUUUACCUUGAUUCCCGACAAACCAACAUAUCCUUGAGAGUCUUUUCUUUAGUCGGGUAAGUCUUGCUGAGUAAUUCCAUACUCAGGGUUUUAUUCCCUGUUGUUUUUCAGGUUGUAAUUUUGUUCUGUUGUGGAUGGUGCUAAGUGCCGGUGGGCUCGGCUUUCUUAUAUAAGUAUAUCCCUUCUAUAGUUUAUUUAAUGAGGAUUGUCACUUAAGCUAGCAUGUAUUUUCAAAUUUACGAAUACUUUAUAACAUUUCAAAUUGUAAUUCUUUUGAAUCACUUUCUUUUGUAAUCUUUUGUAAUCACUCCGAUGAGGUAUAAUAAUAUCUUGAUAAACUUGUAAUCAUUUUGUAAUAAAGAAUUUAUUUCCGCUGCAAGUGUUUGUAUGUGAGUUGUGUUUAUUUAAUCCUGCGAUCUUGGCGGUAAGUGGUUUAUCUGGGGUCCUUGGGACACUCGGACAGAUCCUGUUAAGUUGUUUGGUGCACAUGCAUACCCGUUUGAGGUCCUUGGGACAAGGACAGAUGCAUGUGGGCCCAAUAACUUGGGAGGUUCUGCCACAGCUGGUAUCGGAGCAUGAUUAAGUAUAUACGAUCACAUACGUAUUUUCAAAACAAAAGUUUUGGUUUCGAAAAACCUAUUUUCAACUAAACACAUUGUUUGGCUUUGAAAACAGUUUUGAAAAACUAUAAUGCUAGCGACAUCCUCUGUUAAGCCCUAAAUUAAGGUCUAUUAGGUGGCUUAUUUAAAAACCACUAACCCACAACCGGGUAUUGCAUACAUGUGUAUUGUUAUUUUUGAGGCCAUUCAGUUUUGAAUGGAUCGACGCUCAGGUAAGGUGAGAUGUGAGAGCAUGACCGAACAAACGUCGGUCUAGGGGAGAGUAUAAAAAGCGCUUGAUUAUAUACAUGUUACACAUAUGUAUAUAUGAAGGCUGCGAUGUGGAGUAAUUAUUUUUCUGGGGAUUCAGUACCCCAUGGAUGUGUAUGGGCAUACAGACAUGGGACUACUGAGAAAUGUAAUGUACUCGCAACGACGCACCUACGCUCAGGUAAGAAGGUGAGUUACCAUAAUGGGCUGCCCUGUGGUUAAAGUGUGGCAGCGGCGCCUAUGCGUGGCUCGGCGCUUAAUGAGGAGCUGGCCUCCAUAUAGAAAUAUAUGGAGUAUAAACUGUGAUAAACUGUCAUGUGUGAAUUGCAUCAUUGGGAAAUGGGUUGUGAUGAAAUUUUCUGCAGGUACACUAAUUUUGAAACGUAUGUGUAGCUGACGACUAGCAAUAUACCGAGAGAGAACGUAGAUAUGCCACCGAUAUAGAACGCUAUUGCCACAUUAUGUUGGCGAAAUUCGUGAGGACGAAUAGGACGAGCAUGCAUCCUGAUUCCCGCAUUAUGUUUGUUGUUUGCGCACAAAAAUGCUUUUCUCACCUUUAUUCUAAUAAUUGGUGAUUGUGAACGAACGUGCUUCCCUCAUCUUUAUUCCGAUAAUAAAUAAUUGGAAAAUGUGUGAAGCAUGACUAUCCUAUAAGCAAUUUCUAGCUUUGUUUGUUGUGUCCUUUAGAUAUGUGUUUAUGUGGCCUGUGGUUCUUCUUAAUUUGACCACUAGUCCAACUUGUGUUUGUUUUAGUGUGUUUGUGCCGGUAGAAUGUUGGUAGCUUGUUGACGUAAACCCAAAACUAGGCUAUGUCCUUGUUCAGUAAACCUUGAUCUAAACGUGUAUUAAUUUCUUGACAACCUGUCCUAGGUGUCGUCUUGUGUGAAGAUCAUUUUCUUCACAAGAUUAUUGGAGUUCUAGUAAUUAGACCAAGUCAUGUCCUCAUCAUUUCAACAUUUGAAAUUGUAUGAGAUCUAAUUCAUAAUUUUGUCAUUUCUUCAAAGUCGCUCUAAAUCUUCAAAACAUGCAUGAGUUUGAAUUAUCGAUUCCUACUCCAUGGCCAAACUCGUGCAAAUAGAUGUUUAGGUAAUCCCCUUAUUAGACCUAAGAUGCACUCAAACUUAAAAACAAGGAUCUCGAUUCUGUGAUCUUAACAAUCCACUUCUGGCUCUCUUAUGGUCAUAAUUUCAUCCUAAAACAUAUCCUUGUUUGGUUGAUGCAAGCUGGUAUCCCUAUUCCAGUUUGCCUCUGCUUGAGGAUCACAUUGUCGGUUUCUCAAUCUAACCUGGGGAAGGCAUGUCUGAUCCUUUCCUUGAACUUGAUGCCUUUGGUUUUCUCAUAUCUCUCGAAGGCAUACCAAUUUAAUCUUCCGAUUGUUUUCCUGCAUAUCUAAUCAGACGCUCAUCCUUGACCUUGAAAUUGUUGUGAUGGGCAUAGAAAUAUGCUUGGGGCUGAAAUAACAGUCUCCCAUUGUACUCAUUCAUCAACAAGUUUAGGUUAUGGCCAUGUCUUGUUCGUUUCAUCGGUCCAUGAUCUAUUUGGCUCUCUACUUGUAACCAUUCUUACAGGUGGAGUCUAUUUUGUAUAUUGUCAUCCUGGCUUAGUAUAUUUGUUACCGCGUGAGAUUUCUUAUUGGUUACGUCUAGUAAUGGUGUUAUGACUAAAAUUGACGGUGCCGCGACGAAACCGAGGGCCUCCUGUGGGUGAUCAACACAUGGUUGCGCUACUUGGCACGCGCAGGUAUCACAGUUAGUAGUCAUAAUCCAUUAUGAGAUUAUAUCGAUAUGUUAUCUUUGCGCAAAUUGUUCUUACCAUGUGAGAUUCAUUAUCAGUGCUAGUUCGAUGAUGGUGUCCCAGUUAAUGACUUAUGGUGCCGCGUAAAGCCGAAAGUCUCAUGUGGCGGCCGACACAUGGUAGUGUUGUUCGGUACGCUGGUAUCGAAGUCUCUGGCUAUGAUCCAUUAUGGAACUACACUAACAUGUUAUCUUCCGUAGACUACUUCCUUGAAAUAAUUUCUAUGUUGUUUGUCAGAAUGAUCAAGCCACAUAUGCCAUCACUAUUGGACCAAAAGAGUAUAUAACUCUGAUGUAUUCCUUAAGUAAAGUUCUUACCAGUUAAGAAGUUUUCAUCGAAAAUCGAAACCUAUCCGUGUCUAAUCGUGUGAUAAAAUCACCCUUUUCAUGUGGGGACUCCUUUCUCUUGAUCUUAGUGGUAACUACACACAUGGAACCUUGCAUCGAUAGUGUGAUACAUGCUAUAUUCCCUGGAGAAACCAACAUCUUGGAGUACUCAUCUCUACUUGGAGCUGCCUUAUGCUAUCGCUAUUAUGGACAAGGUUAUACGCCUCUCUACUCUUAGAAGUCUUUCAUUCCGAAUCUCGGGACGAGAUUCUUUUAAGGGGGGAAGGUUGUAACACCCCAGGUGUUAUCUCCCGUAAACAACGAUUAUGGACAUAAUCAAGAAAGGCCGGGGUGAAUAACGAUUUCGAUAUUAGCCCUGUCUCCGAUUACCAAGAUUAUUCGAGAAAUCUCGUUUAGCUUGGAAUUUAAUCAUCUCACAAAAGUUCGAGUUUGGUGCCGUUUUUAUUUCGAUAAUCUACGCAAUUAAAAAGGGUUCAUGAAACUUUUGGAUUAUCGAAUCUUCGUUUGCUGGCGAAUUUUGAACUGUUCGGAUCACGCGCGUAAGUGAACGAAAAUCAGAAGACUUCUGAUUUUAUGUAAAAUUUGGAGCCCCGUGCUGUCCGAACAGAUCGAUGCGCCAGCUGAUUAAGUAAAUCGUACCUCUCAGCAAGUUACCCUUGGCGUCAAAUCAAAUGAUCGAUAGCUGGUGAGUAUCAUAAAAAUUAGGCAGGACUAAAUAUAGUCUAAAAUACCGAAGUCAAUUUCUUUUGGUUCGAUCUGUUUGCUUCUCACCCUGAUCCAAAUGUUUAGAUAGUGAGCAAAUUUCAUCUGAUUUCAGAUUAAUUAAGCACCGUCUGAACUACUGUGGUCGAUAGAGUUUAAAUCCGAUCAAUUUAAAUUUGUCUCAAAACUCUAACUAUGGAACUCGGAUAUAUGCACACGUUUUAUUAAAGGAAAACAGACAGAUGAAAUCUAGUUCUUUUUAUUGAUUUGGUCUUAUCUUUCCACCGCUCUUCCAAUUCUUUAUCCAUUAUCUAUGUUGCUUCUCACAAGUUCCAGUCAAUGUCUGAUAUUUGAAAUUCUAGCUCAUGUCUUCCCUUAUCCUUAUCGUAUGUGUCUUCCGUGGAGAAAAAAAUCCCACCGCUGUACCAGUUCCAUACCCUUCGUAACUAGUUGUACCCAAAAUUUUGUUACCAGGGACACGUCUCCUUCACGUAUUUUCUCCACACGACAGCAGGCACUCGUUCUCACCUCCCCCUCCAUCGCGCGCAGGCGCUGUUCGCUCGCCGUGGAGCUCCCCUGCUGGCGCGCCGGUUCCCUGCUCCGUGGUGCUCGCCGGCGUUUCCUCCAGCAUGUCCCAUGGUUGUCCAGCCCCCACCUCCAUGAUGGCCGAGCUCUCUCUCUCUCCCACGGUCGUCUCCCUCCCCUGCUCGUCCAUGGUGUCCGGUCGCUGCUCGGAUUUUGUCCGUGCCGAGCUCCCUUCGUCACGCCCCUGCUCCUUGUCUCACACGCGUCCCUGCUCCAGUCUUAUCCAUGGUCGCUCCUCUCCUUUCCCUGAUUAAUACUAGGCGCAGCAGCAACAUGCCAGAUCUCUAUAGCCCAGGUGAGACCAACUGCUUGUGUCCUGUUUAUUCCCCACCGAUUCCUAUAUUUGAUUAUUUACUGUAUAUGUUUGUGUGUUUGUGGUGGAGGUAAAUCCUAGGAAAUUUAGAUGAGAAGAAAGCUUUAGCGAGGCGCUUGCCAAGUGCUUGGUGAAUCGCUUCAACCGGAUGCGGUUGUCGAUCUCGCGGAGUCGAGUCGAGUUUAGUCGUGGUAAGUUGAUCCAUUGUUUUCGUUAGUCGGAUGAAUGAUUAGUUGUGUGGAUAUAUAAGGCUUGUGCUAUUAAAUUGAUUUGUGUUGUGUGAAUGAAAUUAUUUUCAUGAGUAUGCAUGUCUUGUAUUAUGAAACUAAUUAGAGAUAUGCAUGGUGCUUGUAGGUGGAUUAUGCCUAAAGUAUUUUGGUAAAGAUAUUUCUCAAGUAUAAAUGAUUUGGUUAUUGUAUAUGAAUUGAGUGAUCAAGUUAAUAAUGUAAAAACAACGUUUAGUACUUAUAGCGCUUUGCCGAUAAGAUUUAUUAGUGAUUGAGUGAAUUUCUAAUGUAUGGUGACAUGAAUGCCUUGUUGUAUUAUGUGGUUUUAGUUCUACUAAAGAUAAAGUGUUGAGUGUUCUAAAUGUUAAAAGCAUGAUAAGUGUAGAAGUUAAAUAAGAUCUAAGUUAGAGUUCUUGCUGUUUGGACUGCAUGUCCAAUUUUAUUACGUGGCUAGUUAAGUAAAGUAAACGUGUUUUCUGUAGAAGUGUUAUAUAUAAAACUUGUAGAUAAUCUUUUUACCUUGCUUGUGCAAAAAUUUCAUGACCAUAGGUUCAGUAGUUUAGGAGUUAUGAUUUUUCCAAGUCCAGUUUCAGAAUCUGUCCAGAUUCUGUACUGAUUUCGAAAAUGACCUUGUUUGUCCAAGUUAAACUGAGAAUCAGCUCUUAGUAAUUAUAGAAGAAUUGUAGUAUUUUUUUAAGCUUUCCAACAAAUUUUGGAGCACCCUUUUUGGUGGUCUAGAGACCAAGUUACAGCUGUUUGAACUGUAGAGUCUGAAUCUGUCCACAUCUGGACAGAGAAGUCUGUUUAUAUUAACUGACUUUGAUAUGUAUUAAAUUAACCUGAGAUGUUUAUAAAUGAAUUGUAGACAAUUCUACUAGCUUUCUAAAAAGUCUAGGAUCACCUGAUUUGGAUGUCUGAGACUCCAGUUAUGAAAUUUUUGAAGUGAGUAGUCGAAUUCUGUACAAAUAUGGACAGAAUUUACGUUUAGCUCUGUUUGACCUUUCUAAGUGUCAAAUCUUGUUCUGAUGAUUAUACCAAAUUUGUAGAGGAUUUUCUUAGGCUUUCCAGAAAGUCAUAGUUCACUAUUUUUGGAUGAAUGUUUUGUGAGUUAUGAGCAAAACCGUGGACUGCUGUGCUGCUGUCCAGGAAUUCUGCAAGUGUGAAAUUAAUUGAUUGAGGUUAUUCUUGUUUGACUAAGUAACUUUAGUUGAUUCUUAAUUAGCAAAGCGAUGGCUUGUGUUAGUAAUUGUCAUUUUCUAUGUUUGUUGAUUGAUUAAAUGUCAUAAAUCAAAAUUGAGCGCUUAAGUUAAUCGCCUUAAAUAAAUGUUCAUCAUUAUUUUAGUCAGUUGGAAGCAAAUAUCAUCGUUGGUCCACUUCAGCAAAUUUACAAAUAUUUUCACAGUGAGUAUUGCACGUUAGUAUCUUAAGUAUGUAGAUUUUAAAUUGUGAUGUUGCAAAAGUCUAUGACCUCUGAUGAUCUUUUACUUGCUAAAUUAAAUGGUAUGAUGUCUAAUUAAUUAAUGCGCUAUACAAGCUAAUCUAAUGAAAUAAUUUAGAAGGCUAGUAAUUUACUUCUAGCUAUAUUCUGAGUGUUUAGUGUUCUAGGCUGGGGAGUAUGAUGUUAUUAAUCUUUUGGAUAUAAUGCACUACCUGAGGAAGUUAAGACUUGUGUAUAACUUAAUAUUUCGUGAUGACUGAUGUUUGCUCCGGAUAACUAAGAGACGUGUGAUUCUUGUACUUAGUAAUUUAUAAAUACCUAGUAUAUGCUUGUUUUUAAAUGUUUACAUUUGUCUUGCCAUAAGUAUUGCAAUCUAUCGAGGUUACGCCUUAGCUGAAUAUUUGUGUUGAGUUAUUGUGCUUGAUGGUUGAGCUGAAAAUAACUCUGAGUGUGUGAUUGUUGUAGAGUCAAAGUUAACUAGUGUUUGCUCAUAGGAAUUGUGGCGCUCUGCCAUAAGUGUUUUGCCCUCUUCAGUGUAGUUUACCUAUCCUGUGUCAUUUAUGCCUAUUCUUAUUCAUAUGCAUUUCACAUUCCAUUAGGUACGUUAACUAAUCGCAUGGUAUGGAGGACAAGAGAUGGAUUGAUCAUAAGACGAUGCUGAUGGACGAAACUAAAGUGGAUGAAUCAACCAAAUGCCAGGAUGGGGGGUGCUCGUCAAGCGAGUAUCAUUUAACAACACUAACGUAGUGUUAUACCAGGCAAGCCCCGGUGCAUUUGCCACCUUCCUUGUGUUUACAAAAUUUUAUCACUUAUAUGCUGCAUUAGGUGAUAGGAGUUGAGUGAUUAAACACUUGAUGCAUUACCAUCCUUGAAAGGUUGAUUACCACACCUUGUCACCCGUUUUAUAAAAGCUAGAGAUGCUUAGUCUUGCUGAUAGAUUAAGAAACAUAUUUUUGAUCUAUGACUCAUGUUUUUACAAAAAAAGAAAAUGGGCUUGGGAUAAUGAAAGCAUCAAGACGUUGAUAAAUUCAUUAUCCAGGCAUGGCCCCUCUGUCAGGCGCCAAAUUUUUGAAAUAGUUUAAAAUGGGACCAGACGUUGAGCAGGAAAGGUCGCCCGUCUGUGUCGAUUAAGGACCGUACCGAUUGUUGGCCUGAUGAUCUAGGACCUUUUAACUGGCCACAUACCUCGUCAUGGGUAAGCCUGAACCCGGCUAUUCCAUACGUGAAAAGACAACCGCGCACUGGGCGUGGGAGAUGGUGGGAGUAGCAGUUACCCUCCUGGCAAGAGGCUGGAUGGUAGGGUAAUGUGCUCCCAGGUAGCACGGACCGGUUCAUGUAGUGGAGGAUCCGUGGGAAUGGUUGACAUAUGCAAGGGUCAAGUGCUACAUAUGUCGUGUGGUUGGAGAUCCCCAGCUGGGUAUUAAUCGAUUCGGAUCGCCGUUACUUCUCGGAUAUGAAGACUGGAUCGCUGCCCUUCAUCGUAGAUAACAAGCGAAACAAAAAUUUGAUUUUAAAAGAAAGUUAGUGUAGGAUAAGUGAAUGCUCUAGAUUAGGUAAAUCUAGAUUCAGGAAAAGUAUUUAACUUGUGAUGUAAAACUUUGGCAUAAGGAUCCACUACUAGUAAGCUUUUCUGCAAAAAUGAGUCUUUGAAAUUUGAUAAGCUUUACCUUGAUUCCCGACAAACCAACAUAUCCUUGAGAGUCUUUUCUUUAGUCGGGUAAGUCUUGCUGAGUAAUUCCAUACUCAGGGUUUUAUUCCCUGUUGUUUUCAGGUUGUAAUUUUGUUCUGUUGUGGAUGGUGCUAAGUGCCGGUGGGCUCGGCCUUCUUAUAUAAGUAUAUCCCUUCUAUAGUUUCUUUAAUGAGGAUUGUCACUUAAGCUAGCAUGUAUUUUCAAAUUUACGAAUACUUUAUAACAUUUCAAAUUGUAAUUCUUUUGAAUCACUUUCUUUUGUAAUCUUUUGUAAUCACUCCGAUGAGGUAUAAUAAUAUCUUGAUAAACUUGUAAUCAUUUUGUAAUAAAGAAUUUAUUUCUGCUGCAAGUGUUUGUAUGUGAGUUGUGUUUAUUUAAUCCUGCGAUCUUGGCGGUAAGUGGUUUAUCCGGGGUCCUUGGGACACUCGGACAGAUCCUGUUAAGUUGUUUGGUGCACAUGCAUACCCGUUUGAGGUCCUUGGGACA